GAUGAAGAACGCAGCGAAAUGCGAUAAGUAGUGUGAAUUGCAGAAUUCAGUGAAUCAUCGAAUCUUUGAACGCACAUUGCGCCCUUUGGUAUUCCUUAGGGCAUGCCUGUUCGAGCGUCAUUUAAACCUUCAAGCUCAGCUUGGUGUUGGGUGACUGUCCGCCGCCUCCGGGCGGUCGGACUCGCCUCAAAUUGAUUGGCGGCCGGUACUUUGGCUUCGAGCGCAGCAGAAACGCGAACUCGAGGCCGUCGUCCUGGCUCCCAGAAGCUGUCUUCACAAUUUUGACCUCGGAUCAGGUAGGGAUACCCGCUGAACUUAAGCAUAUCAAUAAGCGGAGGA
rnacentral:misc_RNA from 1 species